rnacentral:rRNA from 1 species
UCGAGGGCACGCCUGCUUGGGCGUCAUGCA